rnacentral:rRNA from 1 species
CCUACGGGUGGCAGCAGUCGAGAAUCAUUCACAAUGGGGGAAACCCUGAUGGUGCGACGCCGCGUGGGGGAAUGAAGGUCUUCGGAUUGUAAACCCCUGUCAUGUGGGAGCAAAUUAAAAAGAUAGUACCACAAGAGGAAGAGACGGCUAACUCUGUGCCAGCAGCCGCGGUAAUACAGCGGUCUCAAGCGUUGUUCGGAAUCACUGGGCGUAAAGCGUGCGUAGGCUGUUUCGUAAGUCGUGUGUGAAAGGCGCGGGCUCAACCCGCGGACGGCACAUGAGACUGCGAGACUAGAGUAAGGGAGGGGGAAACGGAAUUCGCGGUGUAGCAGUGAAAUGCGUAGAUAUCGAGAGGAACACUCGUGGCGAAGGCGGGUUCCUGGACAUUAACUGACGCUGAGGCACGAAGGCCAGGGGAGCGAAAGGGAUUAGAUACCCUUGUAGUC